GUGUGGAUCACGUGAAAACAAGAUUAAAACUGAAAACUGAAAACAUGCAAUCUCUACCGUAGAUUAUGAUCUAUUACUCACCCCUCAUCUAACGGUUCAGAUUUUUCCCCCAAAUUAAAGCAAAAUGAUAGCAAUUUCUCUCUCCUCCUUCAUUUGCACGUAACUUUUUCCUCCUCUAUUUUCUCUCUCCUACUUUCUCUCUGCUACUUUCUCUCUCCUACUUUCCCAAUUCUUCUACCAAUUUCAUGCUACUAAUUCAAAUCUAGCUUCAAUUACUUUGAUUUUCAGCAAUUUCUUAGCUCUACAAUCUAUUAUCAAUAAAUCGUUGAUUAAGCAGACGAGAACUCGAAUCAAAGUUGUCCGACGAAUGAAAUGCGACGGAGAAGUUUUUGAGGAAAGACAUUGUUGAUCUGCUUGCUAAUGACCUCGAGAAGAACGCUUAUGGAAGAUGCAAGUUCUGUGGCAGGGAGGGUACUAUUACAAUGUUACCAAAAUCUGGCUGCUAUCUAACAGGUGAUGACUGACUGUGAAGCAGGAAAGUUUGUCCGUUUGAUGAGCUUUGACUGUCGGGUUUGGAGCCAGUGGACUACUCCUUUGGUGGUGACAAGGAGGAGCAGCAGAAAUUAUCUUAUGAUAAGGAGCAGCAGGAGAAGUUAUCUGAUGACAAGGAGGCCGGAGAAGGAGAAGUUAUCUGAUGAUAGUUACCUUACUUUUGUAAAUAGUGACAUCUAUAUAAAUAUGGUCAAUGUUGUCAAAAUUUAUAUAAUUACCUUAUUUUUAUAUAUAGUGACCUUCGUUAUUUUUAUAUAUAGUGGCCUCUGUAUAAA